CAGCCGCCGCGGGAAUACGUAGGUCCCGAGCGUUGUCCGGAUUUAUUGGGCGUAAAGCGAGCGCAGGCGGUUAGAAAAGUCUGAAGUGAAAGGCAGUGGCUCAACCAUUGUAGGCUUUGGAAACUGUUUAACUUGAGUGCAGAAGGGGAGAGUGGAAUUCCAUGUGUAGCGGUGAAAUGCGUAGAUAUAUGGAGGAACACCGGUGGCGAAAGCGGCUCUCUGGUCUGUAACUGACGCUGAGGCUCGAAAGCGUGGGGAGCGAACAGGAUUAGAUACCCGUGUAGUCCCUGUCUCUUAUACA
rnacentral:rRNA from 1 species